rnacentral:rRNA from 1 species
AGUGAACGCUGGCGGCAUGCCUAACACAUGCAAGUCGAACGGCAGCACACUAAGAGCUUGCGCUUACGGGUGGCGAGUGGCGGACGGGUGAGGAAUGUAUCCUAAUCUACUUUUUCGUGGAGGAUAACGUAAGGAAACUUACGCUAGUAUCGCAGACGCCCUACGGGGGAAAGCGGUGGAACGUUGGGCCUGGCGCGAUUGGAUGAGCCGAUGUCGGAUUAGCUAGUUGGCGGGGUAAAGGCCAACCAAGGCGACGAUCCGUAGCUGGUCUGAGAGGAUGAUCAGCCACAUUGGAAGUGAGACACGGACCAGACGCCUACGGGAGGCAGCAGUGGGGAAUAUUGGACAAUGGGCGCAAGCCUGAUCCAGCCAUACCGCGUGGGUGAAGAAGGCCUUCGGGUUGUAAAGCCCUUUUGUUGGGAAAGAAACGCAGUAGGUUAAUACCCCGCGGUACUGACGGUACCGAAAGAAUAAGCACCGGCUAACUUCGUG